AGCCAUGAGACCAUGACUGAGCUGAAGUCAGACACGUAACUGACUGAGUCACCCAAUGCCCCUUCAGUAAGCUUUCUUGAGUGACAGGAAUUACACCUGCUGUUGUGAACACAAAAUUACAUUCUGGACAAAGUAAAAUGUAUGAUGGGCAGGAGAUGGAUGAUAUAAUAGUUACAUUCAAAACUGAAUGAGGAAAAAAAAGAUUUUUUUUUUUUUUUUAAAGAAACCAACUCAUUCUGUGGAGAGAAAUCACCAUAAAGGAGGACAGGCUUGAGAUGGGCCUUGAAGGAGUGAAGAGAAGGCCGAGAGAUGUUAUCUUCCCAGAUGUGGAAACAGAAGCAAGUUUCCUGUCCUCUCUAGCCCGUCUCAGCUUCUUUUUUGUCAUUGAAUGAAACAACAGAGUGAAGAUACCACAGGUCUGUCUAUGUUGGAAUUCAGACCUGCCUGGACUGGCCACAAAGGCCCACCAGGAGCCUGGUACAGGAAGAAAUCAUCGCAAAAGUGGCACUGAGGCAUAAAAGGGGUCCGAGGGGGAAUGUGAAAUGUGGACAUUCUGAUCCUAUGUUCUCAGGAAUGUUUCACAGCUUGGGGAGUGACAGCUAUAAUAAAAAAUUAGACAAAGUUAUUUCCCAUUUGCCUCAUCUUAAGCAAUAGGUAGGGGGUUUUCUACCCAGCACAGUGCAGGCUAGUGUGGUCCCUCAUCGAUGCACAGUACCACAUCCAUCUCACACACAAGGGACAGGGUGCCUGGUCUGUGUCACCUUCAGUGGGGAAGCCAGGAUUUGAUUUCAAACCAAGCACCAAAAAGAAAAAUACAGGCAUAUUAUUUAUUUUACUUAAAAUAAAUUUUAAAAUUUAAAUUACUUAAAACUUAAAAAACUUUUCUCCACUCCCUACUGUGAACUAUACCAGACAACUGAUGAUUAGGUUUUUUCAAACUGCCACACACAAGAGUUAAUAUGCUAAAUAUUAGAAACACUGCAUAUAAAAAAAAAAAACCCAACACUCCAAUGAAGUCCCAAAACUAGAAAGAUCAGUAAAAGUAUAAAAGAUGUUCAAUCUUCACAGUCAUCAGAGAAAACUGAAACCGGCUGACAUUUGCAGCAACAAUGAGAAGAAAGGGGGAAAGGCACACGCUACAGAGGAAUUCAUCCAAGGAAAGCGCCGGGCACAUUGGAGAGAAAAAGGGGUAAAGGUGCAAGAUGCCGUCCUGGUUAUAAGAACAAUCAAUCCACAAAGGGAACUACAUUUUGGCAAAUCACACAGGAGAUGACCAGCGCAACCCCCAGAAAAGACACGAUCCUGGUUUAUGGAUGCGGGAAGGUAACAGCAGCAGCAGCUCACUGUUAGGAACGCUUACUGCCACGGCACCUCACAACUGCCUUACAAAGAAAGUGCCGUUGUCUCCACACUUUGCACAGGAGAAAAUGGAGGUGCAGAGAAGGGAAGCAACUUGUUCAUUGGCACCAGCCCGUGAGUGGCAAAACAGGAUCGGGAGCUGGGUCUGUCCAACGCGGAAGUCCGUGCUCUUAAUCCCACAGCCCACUGCCCCUCUGCUUUAAAUUAAGUGAAAACAAGGUUAUAAAACAGAAGUCUGUCAUGGUCUCAUGCUUACAGACACUUGAGCACUCGAUGCAAUACCCAUUAAUGACGGCGCAGUCAGAGGCAGCCAUGAAACUAGGCCCAAUUAUAACAGAACGAAUGAGGCAAUGCCAAGUUUAAUGUUCUUGUCAGUUAUUUAUUAUUUGUCAUUCUAAAGACUAGCACAUUUACAGCAUACAUGGCUUUGAAUGAGCUCAGAAUAUAUAAAACAGUGACUAUAUGUUUAUAUAUUAAUACUGCCCACCCAAAACAAAUAAAUAAAAGUACUUUAAUGCACGAAGCUUGGCAAAUAACAAUUGUGUAGAGACAAAACUGUAUUAUACAAUAUUUGUACAUUUUUAAAGGGAACCAAAGGCAACUGUGCUGCAGGUACUUAGGAUCCACGCCACAUCCCGGGGUUUCAGCGUGUCUCAACACUUCUCUUUAAACGAGAGGGGCCUUCUAAGGAACACUGGACGGAACCUCUCUUUUACGGUAACCUGUACAACGGCUCUCCUUGCGCAGAUGGAAACGGCGCUCCUACGAGACCCGAGGAGCCCCGCCACCACGAAGGGCGCCCUCGCGCGGCAGGUGUGGGAAGCGUGGGAAGGGCGUGAUGCCGCCCGAGGCUGCGCCGCGCUCUCCCGCGGGGGCGCUCACAUAGAAUACUGAAACCUUAACAUUGUCUACAAUGUUAGCCAAGUCUUCGAGUUUUGUGGUGAUCCUUAGCAAGAAGCCGAAGUUGGAAAAGUAAUUAACAUAAAGGUGCCACAUGCAAAACUGCUAACGGAUGACUCAACAUUUGCUCUAUUCCCUUUUGACCAAUGCAGGUGCUUAAUGCUCAUCAGACACCAAAAAAAAUAAAAUAAAAUAAAAUAAAAUAAAA